CCGCGCCGCCUCCUCUCCUUCCUCCCUCUCCCUCUAUGCCGCCUCCCCAAUCCCCUCCCGCACGAACCCCAGCAGAGAGAGAAGAUGAGAGAGAGAAGGAAGGAGAGGAGGGAGAAAGAGAGAGGGAAGAGGAGAGUGAGGUGUGGCGGCCGACGGGAGAGGGUCACCGGCCGGCGUCGGCCUGCGCCGGCGAGGUCGGGCGCGACCUGACGGUUCUGGAUCGGGAGCUGCGAGGAGGCUGGGGUUCGUGCGCGAUGCACGGGAGGCUGCACCCCGCCUCCAUCUCCACGCGUGCAGCAGCGACCCCGGGAGGAGCUCGAGCCGCAGUGGUGGUCCACGGUGCCAUCGUCGGCAGGAGGAGCGUGGGCCUCAGAGACGGCCGGCUUCGUCCAGCUUUCGCGCUGCCGUCCAUCCACGCAAGAAAUCAGUCCCCACGUCCUCGCCUCCAUCCUCUCUCGUUGUCACGCACAUUCUCUCCUCGGUCCUCUCACACACGCGCUCGUGGCCGGAUAUUUGGUAAUUUCUUUUCUGAGCAUAAAUAGAUAUUGUGCCCCCACAUGUUUGUUGUUUUGCCCAGCUGAAAGGUGGAUCAAAUAUCAAAGACGUGAAUGUUCAAUAGUGUGAAAAGCAAGCCCUAGUCUUGUCGAAGUUGCAUUGAAUUUCUGUCAUACCUAAGAAGUACUAAUGCUCAUAUUUUGCAAUUUGCUCUCAACAUCUUUCAGACACGUGUUCUUGAGGAAAGCAGGGAUAGUAUGGAGAAAUUUGCACAGUUUGUGCAGCAUCAGCGGCCAGAGUUGCUAUUCAAGUAGUAGCAGAUCACCAGCGCGCGGACGAGGAGAUCCAGGUCACGGGCAAUCCCCAUUCAGGCCAUGCACACAUUGAGUGAACAGAUUCAGUUCCCUUUUUUUAUCCCUUGGUAGUUCUCAUUGAAUCUUCAGUUAUGCAUAUCGUUGCAAUUAGCAAGCAACCCUGAUGGCAGAAGCUAGCUAGAUGCCUAGAUUGAUGUGUUCAGAUCUAUGUCAAUAAGAAACUCCACAAGGAAAUAACAAACUUUAGGAUCGACCGGGCGCGUCAGUGACUUGGAAGGGGACAGCAAGACACAUAGAAGAAAUAUAAAGCAUCAAGGAUUCGCUUAACAAUUGCAGAAGUCCUCCCAGUUCAUGCUUUUGAUUUAUGGUGGAGACAUGUGGAGUUGCCUCGGACGACGAGGCCAUCGGCGCAACUGCACAACAUAGUUAGGCGUGAACAAGAUGUGUUCUUUAGUGCUUCGCUUCUUCCUUCCAGGCAUCGGUCCCAAAUUCGCUGGCCUAACCUUCUGGGAAUGGGCUUCGUCUAGAGUCAAGAAAAGAGAAGUUUUUUUCAGAUUGACGGGAUAUCUCAUAACUGAAACCAUGAACAACAAGUGCUUUGGUUCUGGUGGUGGCGAUCCAUUGCUUGAGGCGACAUCGUGUGCAAGAUUAUCCUUGUGGAGGCCGUUGGCACGGUGGCACCCUCCUCGACCUGCUGAUCCCAUUACCCAGGUUGCCUGUUGCGCCUAAAGGUUGGAUAUAUGGUGAUAUGGUAAUGCCGAUUUGGGAAAGCAGGUGUACAGUGUGUGUAAAUUAAGAAAACAAUUUAUAAUCUGUGAUGUGAUCAUUGCAUUUUAAUUUAGUAUAUGCGACUCAAGUAGGGAAGUAUUGAAUGCACCUCUCUGGCAAGUGCACGCAUAAGGUACCAUUUUUUACUCAAUCGAUUUCAAAACAAGGCAUGAGACUGACAUACACUCUUUUAUUGCAUCGUGUAAAGAUAUGUGGUGUGAGGGGAAGGAGAAAUGUGGAGCUCAUAUUUUAAAGUGAUGGCCGAGGUGACAAUGCAGCCAUUAUUUGGGCAAGUAUUCUUAAAACAGGAAUUGCAUGCAGUUUAAUGACUAUAUGGUUGGUGAAUCACUGUCAGUAUACUGGAUCUAGCAACUGGUGAGAUCAUGGUAAUGUAGGUGACUGAUGUUAGCAAAGUUUAAAUUGAUUACCCCUGGGACGACGAUCUCCAUCUCCUUAUUGUGGACGUCGUCGUUUAGUAGUGUGGGGCCGGGGGCAACUCUCUUCCACCAUGUAUGUUGAAUGUAUUCCAUCUAAAACAACGUUAAGUGCGUGCUUAGAGCAGGUAAGACAAUGGUGGCU